CACAGUUGCUACGCUUUACGCAAACGCCUUUCCUUUGUUAUGCGUCAGGUCGCGCGAUCAUGUUCCUUUAUGAACUGCGCCCACAAACAAAAUAAACAAAUGAUCUAAAAAAACACAAAGUUGGGGGGAAGGUGGACCUUGCGUGCUUUACCUGAUUAAGCGUCCUUUUAAAGCGAUUUUGGGUACAACAAGCAUUAUAAGGAACUUUUAAAUGACAUCGGCAUGGGUAGGUCCUACGAUUUCAUCAGAUUGGUGCUAUAGCUAGCUAUACACAUGUCGAUCACGUUGAUGACCUAUAAAAAAUCUUCCUCUGGAGGGACCUCAUUAACAUGGGCUAACAGGUGCGCAAUGACAUACGGAAACAAUAAACAGGCUUGAUACGAGUAUGUUCAUGAGGUUUGGUGUUCGUUGUCGCUCUAAGAUUGAGUCCGAGACACAACUCCAAACAAAUCUGGUCUGUGAGCUCUAUCUCAGAUACAGUCUGAUUAAUACUUCUUACUUGAGAACUAUAACGAGACUCAAUCUCAGAUGACUCUUGCCUCCCAUUUGUAACCUACAUAUUGAUGUUUUUAGAUGUUGUA